rnacentral:misc_RNA from 1 species
GGAAGGAUCAUUAAUGAGUUGUGAUGGGGUUUGAUGCUGGCAGCCAAUUUUUGGAUGCAUGUGCUUGCCCUAACAAUCAUCUUCCAAACACCUGUGCACAUUUUUGAGGGAGUUUCGAGUUUUAUUGCCGUUUUUGGUGAUUUUCUUGCAUUCCCUUAAAUUAUUAUACGCUGUUAACAAUGAUGAACGUGCUCUGUGCCGCAAGGCCAUUAAUAUAAUACAACUUUUAACAACGGAUCUCUUGGCUCUCGCAUCGAUGAAGAACGCAGCGAAAUGCGAUAAGUAAUGUGAAUUGCAGAAUUCAGUGAAUCAUCGAAUCUUUGAACGCACCUUGCGCUCCCUGGUAUUCCGGGGAGCACGCCUGUUCGAGUGUCGCGAAAUUUCUCAAGCUUGGAUGGCUUUUUUGUCUGUCCUUAGCCUUGGUUGUUGGGCUUUGCCGUGUCCUUUGUUGGGACGGCUGGCCUUAAAAGCAUUAGCUGAUCCUCGUGUGGCACUGGUUCUACUCAGCGUGAUAACAGUCUGAUCGCUGAGGACAUCUUUUGGGAUGGCCAGUUCUCAUUUGGGUUGCUUCCAAACUUGGUUUUGCAGAUUCUUCAAUCUGUGG